AGAGUUUGAUCAUGGCUCAGAUUGAACGCUGGCGGCAGGCCUAACACAUGCAAGUCGAGCGGUAGCACAAGAGAGCUUGCUCUCUGGGUGACGAGCGGCGGACGGGUGAGUAAUGUCUGGGAAACUGCCUGAUGGAGGGGGAUAACUACUGGAAACGGUAGCUAAUACCGCAUAACGUCUUCGGACCAAAGUGGGGGACCUUCGGGCCUCACGCCAUCAGAUGUGCCCAGAUGGGAUUAGCUAGUAGGUGGGGUAAUGGCUCACCUAGGCGACGAUCCCUAGCUGGUCUGAGAGGAUGACCAGCCACACUGGAACUGAGACACGGUCCAGACUCCUACGGGAGGCAGCAGUGGGGAAUAUUGCACAAUGGGCGCAAGCCUGAUGCAGCCAUGCCGCGUGUGUGAAGAAGGCCUUCGGGUUGUAAAGCACUUUCAGCGAGGAGGAAGGGUAGUGUGUUAAUAGCACAUUGCAUUGACGUUACUCGCAGAAGAAGCACCGGCUAACUCCGUGCCAGCAGCCGCGGUAAUACGGAGGGUGCAAGCGUUAAUCGGAAUUACUGGGCGUAAAGCGCACGCAGGCGGUUUGUUAAGUCAGAUGUGAAAUCCCCGCGCUUAACGUGGGAACUGCAUUUGAAACUGGCAAGCUAGAGUCUUGUAGAGGGGGGUAGAAUUCCAGGCGUAGCGGUGAAAUGCGUAGAGAUCUGGAGGAAUACCGGUGGCGAAGGCGGCCCCCUGGACAAAGACUGACGCUCAGGUGCGAAAGCGUGGGGAGCAAACAGGAUUAGAUACCCCGGUAGUCCAA
rnacentral:rRNA from 1 species